rnacentral:rRNA from 1 species
CGUNNAUNCANAAAANNGGGUAACCNGUAAACAAGGUAACCGUAACCCCUAACUUGGUNGCNCGGAUUAGUGGCCAACGGGUGAGUAACACGUGUAGUAACCUGCCCUUGACUUCGGGAUAACUCCGGGAAACCGGGGCUAAUACCGGAUAUGAGCCGCCUUCGCAUGGGGGUGGUUGGAAAGUUUUUCGGUCAGGGAUGGGCUCGCGGCCUAUCAGCUUGUUGGUGGGGUGAUGGCCUACCAAGGCGACGACGGGUAGCCGGCCUGAGAGGGCGACCGGCCACACUGGGACUGAGACACGGCCCAGACUCCUACGGGAGGCAGCAGUGGGGAAUAUUGCACAAUGGGCGAAAGCCUGAUGCAGCGACGCCGCGUGAGGGAUGAAGGCCUUCGGGUUGUAAACCUCUUUCACCAGGAAAGAAGCGCA